rnacentral:rRNA from 1 species
UGGGGAAUCUUGCACAAUGGGGGCAACCCUGAUGCAGCGACGCCGCGUGAGCGAUGAAGGUUUUCGAAUCGUAAAGCUCUGUCCUAUGGGAAGAUAAUGACGGUACCAUAGGAGGAAGCCCCGGCUAACUACGUGCCAGCAGCCGCGGUAAUACGUAGGGGGCGAGCGUUGUCCGGAAUUACUGGGCGUAAAGGGUUCGCAGGCGGCAUGGCAAGUCCGAUGUAAAAGGCGAAGGCUCAACCUUCGUAAGCAUCGGAAACUGUCAAGCUUGAGUGAAGGGGAGGCAAGUGGAAUUCCUAGUGUAGCGGUGGAAUGCGUAGAUAUUAGGAGGAAUACCGGUGGCGAAGGCGACUUGCUGGACUUCAACUGACGCUGAGGAACGAAAGCGUGGGUAGCAAACAGG